AGAACAAUGGAUUGCAGGGUCAUUCUGUUGUUUUCUGUUACAGUCACAAAACAUCUGAACUUAAACUGGAGUGUGAAGAAGAGGAGCUGGAGCCAUGGCAGAAACACACUUUACAUGUUCGCUUGAAAGAAGAGCAUGAUGUUGGAGAGUUGAGUGAUGACAAAACAGAUUGUAAACCAAAUUCUUCGUCUCUUCAGAGCUGGGCAGCUGGUCAGCACACUGUGACACCUGAGGCCUGUGGCGCUAGCCACACUUCUGAGGGACAUCAAAUCAGCAACAACCCCAUGUCCUUAUCCAGUGUCCAGAGUCCUGAAGUAUAUGCAGCAUCAUCUGACAAACUGCAGUCAGACCAGUCCAACUCACAGACCUUCUCUGUACCUUUUCCUCCACCGUGCCUUACUGCGAUUAAACUUGAACCAACUGAAACAUGAAACAUAAAAUAAUAACCUGAAACAAAAGGGGAAGUUCACAAGUUACAGUUACACACAAUUUGUUGUCGAACAUAAAUGUGUCAUAUCUGAUGCACAAAUUGAUAAAUUGCAGAUUAUUUGCACAUCUAAGUGUUGUCUCCUCCGACAUGAUGACAGUCUGGGGAACCCUGUUCACAACACCUGUUACCUCAAUUACCAAGUCCACAUAAAACGAAUCCAUUUAUUGAAAACUUUGGUACCAGCCUUUUGGUUAAAUGCUACCUCAUAUGUACAGGUUUGUAAUACAGUGUAUAGCGAAAUAAAUUCUUUAAUUAAAACUCA